GACGAACGCUGGCGGCGUGCCUAAUACAUGCAAGUAGGACGCAGUUGCGAACGGGUGAGUAACGCGUAGGUACCUGCCUAUUAGAGGGGGAUAACUAUUGGAAACGAUAGCUAAUACCGCAUACUAGUAGAUGGACCUGCGUUGUAUUAGCUAGUAGGUAGGGUAAUGGCCUACCUAGGCGACGAUACAUAGCCGACCUGGGAGGGGGUACGGCCAAACUGGGGAUGAGAAACGGGCCAGACUCCGAAGGGAGGAAGAAGUAGGGAAUCGUCGGCAAUUGGGGGAACCCGAACCGAGCAACGCCGCGGGAGUGAAGAAGGUUUUCGGAUCGUAAAGCUCUGUUGUUAAGGAAGCGGUACUUAACCAGAAAGGGACGGCUAACUACGUGCCAGCAGCCGCGGUAAUUC
rnacentral:rRNA from 1 species